rnacentral:sRNA from 1 species
GUCAGCGACCCCACCGGUAAACCGGGGGGCUUGUGGGAGACUACCCUGAGUGGUCUUGGCUGCGAGCCCCGAUGCUGACCAGCCCCCGGUGUGCUCGCACACCGGAGCCGUUCAGAAGGAGCGCGAAAAAGCAGACCCUGGAGUGGCUUUUCCAGCUCCCGGCUCUUUAAUUGCUCAGUUAAACAGGUUGAUGGGGUGUCCAAAGCCAGUGCUGAGCAAAGAUCGCCGCUUCUGACACCCGGGCGAGGAAAACAUUACCGUUCGUGUGUGCUGGACAGGAAGGCGCACACCAACGCGAUGCCUCAUUACGAGGCCCCCGCAAGGGG